AAGAAGAAGAAGAAGUUGUGGCUCACUGUCCUGAAAGUGAAAUGCCUUCAAUGCAUCUUGAAAAGCAAGUGUCAACCCUCCCUCAAGCAAGUAUGAUGGAGAGGACGCGCGUUGUGCAAGUGAUUAAUGCAAAAAAAGACCAAUUAUUUCCCUCAGCGAUGCGCCCUUCUAUCCAUCUGGAAAAAGAAGCGUCAACCCUCCCUCAAGCAAGAAUGGAGGCGAAACGCAUUGGGCAAGUGAUUUCUACGAAAAAAGACCAAUUAUUGCCUUCAGCAGUGAGUGCGCGUAUCCUCGACAUCGUAAAGUGGAAACAAAGGAAACAAAUGUACAUUAGGAGUGUCACACAGCAAGUCCUAAACAAAAAGAAGUACGGUGCGCUGAGCGAGUUGAUGGAGCUGAUGAGCAGCGUCGCUGGUGAGCAGCAUCCAUGGCAGCACCCCACAGACCUCACAACCAGAAACUAUUGGUCAGGAAACCAUGGUGACCACCUUUAUUCCCUGGAAGAAUGGAAAAGAAAGAACGGAGGGGGUUAUAAACGGUUUUCUAGAUGACAAUGUCCUGGUGUUAUGUGUCUUUGCACUUAUUUGUAUGGUCUGUUUCAGUUUUUUUGCACCCAGUUUUGAUCUGUUGUGUUUUCUUUAAAACCUUUCCCCUAAAUGCAAUGUUUAGCUCAAGAAACACUGUUUUUUCAUGUUUGAGUGCAUAUUGUUGCCCCUUCUGCAUGUUUUGAAAUAUGUAUCCAUACAACUUAUCCAUACACUUUUUUCCCAACACUGUAAGUUUGUGUGUUGAGACAUGAAAUCAACCAAAA